AAAAAAUUAGUUAAUUAAUAACAUAAGCCUGUCAUGCUUAAAUUAUCAACUCGUUGAUAUUUUUUA
rnacentral:tRNA from 1 species